rnacentral:rRNA from 1 species
GACGAUGAUCCCCAGCUUGCUGGGGGGAUUAGUGGCGAACGGGUGAGUAACACGUUGUAACCUGCCCUUAACUCUGGGAUAAGCCUGGGAAACUGGGUCUAAUACCGGAUAUGACUGAUCAUCGCAUGGUGGUUGGUGGAAAGCUUUUUGUGGUUUUGGAUGGACUCGCGGCCUAUCAGCUUGUUGGUGAGGUAAUGGCUUACCAAGGCGACGACGGGUAGCCGGCCUGAGAGGGUGACCGGCCACACUGGGACUGAGACACGGCCCAGACUCCUACGGGAGGCAGCAGUGGGGAAUAUUGCACAAUGGGCGCAAGCCUGAUGCAGCGACGCCGCGUGAGGGAUGACGGCCUUCGGGUUGUAAACCUCUUUCAGUAGGGAAGAAGCGAAAGUGACGGUACCUGCAGAAGAAGCGCCGGCUAACUACGUGCCAGCAGCCGCGGUAAUACGUAGGGCGCAAGCGUUAUCCGGAAUUAUUGGGCGUAAAGAGCUCGUAGGCGG